UACGUAGGUGGCAAGCGUUAUCCGGAUUUAUUGGGCGUAAAGGGAACGCAGGCGGUCUUUUAAGUCUGAUGUGAAAGCCUUCGGCUUAACCGGAGUAGUGCAUUGGAAACUGGGAGACUUGAGUGCAGGAGAGGAGAGUGGACUUCCAUGUGUAGCGGUGAAAUGCGUAGAUAUAUGGAGGAACACCGGUGGCGAAAGCGGCUCUCUGGCCUGUAACUGACACUGAGGCUCGAAAGCGUGGGGAGCAAACAGG
rnacentral:rRNA from 1 species